CUAUUUCAUUCAGUCACCUAGCUUGUGAGAAUGGAAUGCUCACAAAAAGGACAAGAGCGAGAGAGCUGUAUGGAAAUUUACACAAAGGGUCAGUUAACGGAGUAAGCUGAUAUGGAGGAUAAUAUAUCAAAGGCAGCAUAGGCAUCCAAACUCCUGUUCAAGGUGCUUUUAAUCAGAAGCUUAAGAGACAAAAGACGAGCCAUUGACAAGGCAAAACUGAAUGUUUUAUAUGAAAUUGAGCAAGAAAAGUUUGAAGUGUCUUUGGGAAUGAUCAACAUCAAAC